GAUGAACGCUGGCGGCGUGCCUAAUACAUGCAAGUCGAGCGAACGGACGAGAAGCUUGCUUCUCUGAGGUUAGCGGGGGACGGGAGAGUAACACGUGGAUAACCUACCUAUAAGACUGGGAUAACUUCGGGAAACCGUAGCUAAUACCGGAUAAUAUUUUGAACCGCAUGGUUCAAAAGUGAAAUACGGUCUUGCUGUCACUUAUAGAUGGAUCCGCGCUGCAUUAGCUAGUUGGUAAGGUAACGGCUUACCAAGGCAACGAUGCAUAGACGCCCUGCGAGCGUGAUCGGAUACACUGGCACUGAGACACGUCCCAGACUCCUACGGUAGGACGCAGUAGGGAAUCUUCCGAAAAGCGCGAGAGCCUGAUGGUGCAACGCCGCGUGAGCGCUGAAGGUCUUCGGAUCGUAAAACGCUGUUAUUAGGGAAGAACAUAUGUGUAAGUAACUGUGCACAUCUUGACGGUACCUAAUCAGAAAGCCACGGCUAACUACGUG
rnacentral:rRNA from 1 species